AAGACCUUGCGCUUUUGGAGCGGCCGAUGCCUGAUUAGCUUGUUGGUAAGGUAAAAGCUUACCAAGGCUUCGAUCAGUAGCUGGUCUGAGAGGACGACCAGCCACACUGGGACUGAGACACGGCCCAGACUCCUACGGGAGGCAGCAGUGGGGAAUUUUGGACAAUGGGGGCAACCCUGAUCCAGCCAUGCCGCGUGAGUGAAGAAGGCCUUCGGGUUGUAAAGCUCUUUCAGCCGGAACGAAACGGUUACGGUUAAUACCCGUGACUACUGACGGUACCGGAAGAAGAAGCACCGGCUAACUACGUGCCAGCAGCCGCGGUAAUACGUAGGGCGCGAGCGUUAAUCGGAAUUACUGGGCGUAAAGCGUGCGCAGGUGGUUUUGUAAGUCAGAUGUGAAAGCCCCGGGCUCAACCUGGGAACU
rnacentral:rRNA from 1 species